UACGUAGGGUGCAAGCGUUGUCCGGAAUCAUUGGGCGUAAAGAGCGUGUAGGCGGCUUGUUAAGUCUUGCGUGAAAUCUCGGGGCUCAACCCCGAGCGGUCGUGAGAAACUGGCAGGCUAGAGUGCGGGAGAGGAGAGUGGAAUUCCUGGUGUAGCGGUGGAAUGCGCAGAUAUCAGGAGGAACACCGGUGGCGAAGGCGGGUCUCUGGGCAGUAACUGACGCUGAGGAGCGAAAGCGUGGGGAGCGAACAGG
rnacentral:rRNA from 1 species